rnacentral:rRNA from 1 species
CAGUCGCCACGGUAAUACGAAGGGUGCAAGCGUUACUCGGAAUUACUGGGCGUAAAGCGCGCGUAGGUGGUUUGUUAAGUUGGAUGUGAAAUCCCCGGGCUCAACCUGGGAACUGCAUCCAAAACUGGCAGGCUAGAGUAGGGCAGAGGGUGGUGGAAUUUCCUGUGUAGCGGUGAAAUGCGUAGAUAUAGGAAGGAACACCAGUGGCGAAGGCGACCACCUGGGCUCAUACUGACACUGAGGUGCGAAAGCGUGGGGAGCAAACAGGAUUAGAUACCCGAGUAGACCCUGUCUCUUAUAC